GCUUUCCUAGCUCAAUUUGGUCAGAGCGUCCGACUUUUAACAAUGUUAAAACAUGCCAUCGGAAGGCUGUGGGUUCGAGUCCCACGGAUCGCG
rnacentral:tRNA from 1 species